UACGUAGGGUGCAAGCGUUAAUCGGAAUUACUGGGCGUAAAGCGUGCGCAGGCGGUCUUGCAAGACAGAUGUGAAAUCCCCGGGCUCAGCCUGGGAACUGCAUUUGUGACUGCAAGGCUGGAGUGCGGCAGAGGGGGAUGGAAUUCCGCGUGUAGCAGUGAAAUGCGUAGAUAUGCGGAGGAACACCGAUGGCGAAGGCAAUCCCCUGGGCCUGCACUGACGCUCAUGCACGAAAGCGUGGGGAGCAAACAGG
rnacentral:rRNA from 1 species